GCGGUAAUACGGAGGGGGUUAGCGUUGUUCGGAAUUACUGGGCGUAAAGCGUACGUAGGCGGACCAUUAAGUUGGGGGUGAAAUCCCGGGGCUCAACCCCGGAACUGCCUCCAAAACUGCUGGUCUUGAGUUCGAGAGAGGUGAGUGGAAUUCCGAGUGUAGAGGUGAAAAUUCGUAGAUAUUCGGAGGAACACCAGUGGCGAAGGCGGCUCACUGGCUCGAUACUGACGCUGAGGUACGAAAGUGUGGGGGAGCAAACAGGAUUAGAUACCCUGGUAGUCCACACCGUAAACGAUGAAUGCCAGUCGUCGGGUAGCAUGCUAUUCGGUGACACACCUAACGGAUUAAGCAUUCCGCCUGGGGAGUACGGUCGCAAGAUUAAAACUCAAAGGAAUUGACGGGGGCCCGCACAAGCGGUGGAGCAUGUGGUUUAAUUCGAUGCAACGCGAAGAACCUUACCAGGGCUUGACAUACUACAAAUCCUUUUGAGAAAAAGGAGUGCCUUCGGGAAUGUAGAUACAGGUGGUGCAUGGCU
rnacentral:rRNA from 1 species